rnacentral:rRNA from 1 species
AUGGCCUCGUCGGACGCUGUGGAGGUCCCGCAGGCGGCACAGCCCUGGCGGAUGACGAGCAACCGGCCAUCAUCGCCACGGAAGACAUCGGACGCGUCGGUGCCACUGCCCCCUAUGUACGAGACGAACUUGCACGUGGGCGCGGUGGUCAGGCGCGGCGGAUGGAGAUCCAUCCGGUUCGCCGGUGGCGCGGAUGGUGCCCCAGCUGUCCUGUGGUGGUCGUGGGAGGCGGCACGUACUGGUGGACCAUCCUUGAUGGCAGACGACGGGAGUUGCAGCGCGGCGCGGGUAGACGAGCACGGGUGCGCUGAUGGUGGAGAUGACGACCCCGGGGUCGCCGGUAGGGCGGUUGGCGUGCCCCUGGAGGUUGGAGACGCUGGUGAGGGCUCGGGCUUCGCCUUGGACGCGUGGGUGUCGCGGGAAGAGGUGGACGUGCGUUCCUCCGCCGGGGGUGGAGAGUCAGAGGUCGCCGAUGCGGUGGUAGCGGUGGCCUCGGUCUCGGUUGCAGACACCGAUGAAGGCAGAGACUCGGAGCGCGGCGGAGGUGGCGAGCCCGAGGUGGCCGAUGGGGUGGCAGAUGUCGCAGACGCGGAGGCGGGCCCGGACUCGGCUUGCGGCGGAGGUGGCGAGCGCAAGGUCGCCGUUGGGGCGUUAGUGGUAGCCCUGGAAGUCGGCGACGCCGGCAUGGUCUCGGGCUGCAUCCAAGCGAGCCGAUCCUGCAGCGCCCGGCCAGCGAGGGCGAUGAGCUCGACCACGGAUGGCUUGGCGGCGGCGGAGGCGGUGACGAGAGCCACGACGAUGGUAAGGCAGACUAGGACGCGGGGAGGAGCCAUGGCGUGGACGCGUGGUGCGAAAACACGGCCCUGCUAUGUGCUGCCAAAUGUGGCGAGCAACCUAAAACCAAACCAGAUGUCUAGACUCGAAUCAAAUCAGAAAUUCAGGAUGGAAAGAGGAAAGCAGGGCAGGGCAGGGCAGGUAGAGGAGUGCCAGGCAAGCAUGCUACGACAAAACGUUCCUGACGGGCGGGUCCACAGGGACUAG